rnacentral:rRNA from 1 species
GUGCUGUGAGCUCGAUGAGUAGGGCGGGACACGUGGUAUCCUGUCUGAAUAUGGGGGGACCAUCCUCCAAGGCUAAAUACUCCUGACUGACCGAUAGUGAACCAGUACCGUGAGGGAAAGGCGAAAAGAACCCCGGCGAGGGGAGUGAAACAGAACCUGAAACCGUGUACGUACAAGCAGUGGGAGCCCCACCACCAAAGCGUUUCGCUUUGUGUGGUGCACAAAGAAGCGUAACGACAGCACUGACUGACGGUUAACGGAGCGUAAGCGACGUUCAACACAAAAAUCAGGCAGUGGAGCGCUUUGGGGUGGGGUGACUGCGUACCUUUUGUAUAAUGGGUCAGCGACUUAUAUUCUGUAGCAAGGUUAACCGAAUAGGGGAGCCGAAGGGAAACCGAGUCUUAAUUGGGCGUUAAGUUGCAGGGUAUAGACCCGAAACCCGGUGAUCUAGCCAUGGGCAGGUUGAAGGUUGGGUAACACUAACUGGAGGACCGAACCGACUAAUGUUGAAAAAUUAGCGGAUGACCUGUGGCUGGGGGUGAAAGGCCAAUCAAACCGGGAGAUAGCUGGUUCUCCCCGAAAGCUAUUUAGGUAGCGCCUCGUGAACUCAUCUCCGGGGGUAGAGCACUGUUUCGGCUAGGGGGCCAUCCCGGCUUACCAACCCGAUGCAAACUGCGAAUACCGGAGAAUGUUAUCACGGGAGACACACGGCGGGUGCUAACGUCCGUCGUGAAGAGGGAAACAACCCAGACCGCCAGCUAAGGUCCCAAAGUCAUGGUUAAGUGGGAAACGAUGUGGGAAGGCUCAGACAGCCAGGAUGUUGGCUUAGAAGCAGCCAUCAUUUAAAGAAAGCGUAAUAGCUCACUGGUCGAGUCGGCCUGCGCGGAAGAUGUAACGGGGCUAAACCAUGCACCGAAGCUGCGGCAGCGAACGUAUCACUUAAAGCGAUUCAGCGGGUGACGAUUGACGGAGCGAAGCGACGUCAAAGCGUAUACAAAGUCGAGUCGGUUUAAGGAUACGUU